rnacentral:rRNA from 1 species
AUUGAACGCUGGCGGCAUGCCUUACACAUGCAAGUCGAACGGUAACAGGUCUUCGGAUGCUGACGAGUGGCGAACGGGUGAGUAAUACAUCGGAACGUGCCCGAUCGUGGGGGAUAACUACUCGAAAGAGUAGCUAAUACCGCAUACGAUCUACGGAUGAAAGCGGGGGAUCUUCGGACCUCGUGCGGACGGAGCGGCCGAUGGCAGAUUAGGUAGUUGGUGGGAUAAAAGCUUACCAAGCCGACGAUCUGUAGCUGGUCUGAGAGGACGACCAGCCACACUGGGACUGAGACACGGCCCUGACUCCUACGGGAGGCAGCAGUGGGGAAUUUUGGACAAUGGACGAAAGCCUGAUCCAGCAAUGCCGCGUGCAGGAUGAAGGCCUUCGGGUUGUAAACUGCUUUUGUACGGAACGAAAAGACUCCUUCUAAUACAGGGGGUCCAUGACGGUACCGUAAGAAUAAGCACCGGCUAACUACGUGCCAGCCGCCGCUGUAA